rnacentral:tRNA from 1 species
GGGGAGAGUGGUCGAGUGGUUAAAAGCGACAGACUGUAAAUCUGUUGAAGUUUUUCUACGUAGGUUCGAAACCUGCCUCUCCCAC